rnacentral:rRNA from 2 species
GUCUCUUAGAAACUAUUAAGAGUCAGGCCUGCCCAGUGAUUGCUUUUUUAACGGCCGCGGUACCCUGACCGUGCAAAGGUAGCAUAAUCAUUUGCCUUUUAAUUGGAGGCUGGUAUGAACGGUUUGACGAGAGUAAAGCUGUCUCACACACAUUAAAUAGAAACUAAUUUAAAGGUGCAAAAGCCUUUAUAAAACAAAAAGACGAGAAGACCCUGUUGAGCUUUAAUUUUAAUGAGCACCAACUUUAUAUUAAUAUAAUUAUUUGCUCAAUAAAAAUUUUAAUUGGGGCGAUUAAGGAACACAAUAAAGCUUCCUGAUUUUAACAUUAAAUAUCCAUAAAUUAAAUCGAUCCAGCAAUGCUGAUCAACAAAACGAGUUACCACAGGGAUAACAGCAUAAUUCUUUUUCAGAGCUCAUAUCGAAAAAAGAGAUUGUGACCUCGAUGUUGGACUAGGGUAACAAGAAGGUGGAGCAGCUUUCUUGCUUGGUCUGUUCGACCAGUAAUUCCCU